rnacentral:rRNA from 1 species
UACGUAGGGGGCAAGCGUUAUCCGGAUUUACUGGGUGUAAAGGGAGCGUAGACGGUACGCCAAGUCUGAAGUGAAAUGCCGCAGCUUAACUGCGGAACUGCUUUGGAAACUGGCGGGCUAGAGUGCGUCAGAGGGAGGUGGAAUUCCACGUGUAGCAGUGAAAUGCGUAGAUAUGUGGAAGAACACCGAUGGCGAAGGCAGCCUCCUGGGACGCAACUGACGCUCAUACACGAAAGCGUGGGGAGCAAACAGG